rnacentral:piRNA from 1 species
GCCAAUGACACGAGCUCACUGUCAGAGU